rnacentral:sRNA from 1 species
AGUGAACUUCGUUUGCAGUGAAAAUCCUUUUAUGAAGCGCAGCAGAAUAAAAGAUUAUAACGGAUAGCCCGACCCGCU